UACGUAGGGUGCAAGCGUUGUCCGGAAUUAUUGGGCGUAAAGAGCUCGUAGGCGGUCUGUCGCGUCUGCUGUGAAAACUCAGGGCUUAACCCUGAGCUUGCAGUGGGUACGGGCAGACUAGAGUGCGGUAGGGGAGACUGGAAUUCCUGGUGUAGCGGUGAAAUGCGCAGAUAUCAGGAGGAACACCGGUGGCGAAGGCGGGUCUCUGGGCCGGUAAACUG
rnacentral:rRNA from 1 species